rnacentral:rRNA from 1 species
UGAGGAAUAUUGGUCAAUGGGCGGGGAGCCUGAACCAGCCAAGCCGCGUGAGGGAAUAAGGCCCUACGGGUCGUAAACCUCUUUUGUCGGGGAACAAAAGCGGGGACGUGUCCCCGUCUGCGUGUACCCGAAGAAAAAGCAUCGGCUAACUCCGUGCCAGCAGCCUCCCGUAGGACAUGACU